rnacentral:rRNA from 1 species
ACGGAGGAUGCGAGCGUUAUCCGGAUUUAUUGGGUUUAAAGGGAGCGCAGACGGGUGAUUAAGUCAGCUGUGAAAGUUUGCGGCUCAACCGUAAAAUUGCAGUUGAAACUGGUUAUCUUGAGUGCAGUUGAGGUGGGCGGAAUUCGUGGUGUAGCGGUGAAAUGCUUAGAUAUCACGAAGAACCCCGAUUGCGAAGGCAGCUCACUAAACUGCAACUGACGUUCAUGCUCGAAAGUGUGGGUAUCAAACAGG